rnacentral:rRNA from 1 species
UGGGGAAUAUUGCGCAAUGGGGGAAACCCUGACGCAGCAACGCCGCGUGAGUGAUGAAGGCCUUCGGGUUGUAAAGCUCUUUCGGCUGGGAAGAAGGGUGUGUUUUUUAAUAAAGAAUGCAUUUGAUGGUACCAGAGUAAGAAGCACCGGCUAACUUCGUGCCAGCAGCCGCGGUAAUACGAAGGGUGCAAGCGUUGUUCGGAAUUACUGGGCGUAAAGGGUUCGUAGGCGGAAAGAUAAGUCAAGUGUGAAAUCCCCAAGCUCAACUUGGGACGUGCAUUUGAAACUAUUUUUCUUGAGUGUUAGAGAGGGUGGUGGAAUUGCUGGUGUAGGAGUGACAUCCGUAGAGAUCAGCAGGAACACCGGAGGCGAAGGCGACCACCUGGCUAAAGACUGACGCUGAGGAACGAAAGCGUGGGGAGCAAACA